CAUUUUUGCCUUUAUCGUAGUAGUACUGUAAAAUAUGCCGUAUUUUCUCUUUAUUUUGCUCCAUGUUUGCGACGCUAUAACUCACGAACGACUUAAACGAAACGACAAUCAAUCAAAUACCGCAUGAAAUGAGCUUUCCAAAAAGGUAUAGCAUGACCCGAUGCGACGAAUAAAACUAGAACUACGCGCUUUCAGCGCCAACUAGCGAAAAUACCGCAAGACUUUUUUGACAGC